ACAGUUUAACAUGAUGGACUAUAGGACAGGACUGCUGCUUUUAACUCUCUGCUGGGCAGGUGUUGAUGGUCAGACUCUGACAGAAUCUGAACCAGCGAUUAAAAGACCUGGAGAAUCCCACAGAUUGACCUGUACAACAUCUGGAUUCACAUUCAGCAGCUACGCUAUGAGCUGGGUCAGACAGGCUCCUGGAAAAGGACUGGAGUGGAUCGCUUUUGUACACACAGGCAGUUCUCAUCUCUAUUACUCCCAGUCAGUCCAGGGGAGAUUCACCAUCUCCAGAGAUGACUCCAGCAGUAAACUCUAUCUGCAGAUGAACAGUCUGAAGACCGAGGACACAGCAGUGUAUUACUGUGCCAGAAUAGCGGACGGUGCUUUUGAUUACUGGGGGAAAGGCACAAUGGUUACAGUAACAUCAGCCACUCCAACUGCACCAGCUGUGUUUCCGCUGAUUCAAUGUGGUUCUGGGACCGGAGACAUCACUCUUGGCUGCCUUGCCACCGGCUUCACACCCUCCUCACUGACCUACGCAUGGAACAAAAAUGGGGCUGCCUUGACCGACUUCAUUAAGUACCCUCCGGUGCAGAAAGGCAACGUUUAUACUGGAGUCAGUCAAAUCCGAGUGAGCAGACAGGACUGGGACGCAAGGGAGACUUUCAAAUGCGCCGUGGAACAUGCAUCAGGACAGCCACAAGAGGUUAUUUUCCGAAAGAUAGUGGUGCCUUGUUAUCCGCCAACCCUUAGCGUGUUGGCCUCCUCUGAUGAGGGAACCGAGGCUUCCUUCUCCUGCUUUGCCAAAGAUUUUUCACCAAAAGAUUACGAGAUCAAAUGGCUGAAAAAUGAAGAAGAAAUUGUCAACAAAAUAAACGAGAUCCAAACACGUUUUGAGGGAAGAGUGGAUGAUAAUGGAACUGCAUACAGCGCAGCAAGUUUUCUCACGGUGAAAUCCGAAGAGAUGCCUGCAAACACCCAGGUUACAUGUGAGUUUAAAGGGAAAAGUGGAGCGUGUCCUACAAAGAUCAAUUCAACUGUUAUCUACCAACCAAAGCUUCAAAUUGGAGAUGGAGCAUGUCUUGAAAAAGAUGUGGAGAUAGAUAUCAUAGAACCCACAAUGGAGGACAUGUUUUCAGAAGGAAAAGGAAACAUAACAUGUCAGGUCAAGAUAAACAAACCAUCCGUCACUGAAAUUUCAUGGGAGACCCACAAUGGAAAACCAAUACAUGGUGCUUCAGUAUCACCCCCACAAGGAAGUAAAGGUGUAUUUAGAUCUUCACUUCCCAUCACUUAUGACGAAUGGAGCAAGGGGACAAAGUUUGUCUGCAUAGUGAUACAUGACAAUGUGGUUGAUCCACUUAAGAAAACCUACGGAAGGACUGUCGGAGGACAGAUUCAGCGUCCAUCAGUGUUUAUGCUACCUCCACUAGAACAAACUAAAAAGGAAACGGUGACCCUGACUUGCUAUGUGAAAGACUUCUUCCCUCAGGAGGUUUUCGUUUCUUGGCUUGUUGAUGACGUAAAAGCAGACUCAAAAUUUAAGUUCCAUACCACAAACCCUGUAGAAAACCAAGGAUCCUAUUCUGUUUACAGCCAGUUAUCUCUCACCCUUGAGGAGUGGCAAGACAGUGACAUGGUGUAUAGCUGUGUAGUUCACCAUGAGUCUGUGGUUAACACAAAUAAAGCUAUUGUCAGGUCCAUCGGGCACAGAACAUUUGAAAAAACCAACCUGGUCAACCUCAACAUGAACAUCCCUGAAACAUGCAAGGCCUAGUAGACGUCAUUCUGUGUCGCUGUGUCUUCUGCUGUUUGUUGUUUAAUGUUUGUUGCUUGUGAUUUGACAUUGUGUUUGUCUUUUUAAUGCAGAUUCAAAAUAAAAAAUAAAAAAAAGCACUUUGCAACUCUGUUGAUGUA